CACGUAGGGUGCGAGCGCUGUCCGGAAUUAUUGGGCGUAAAGAGCUCGUAGGCGGUGUGUCGCGUCGGCCGUGAAAACCUGCAGCUUAACUGUGGGCUUGCGGCCGAUACGGGCAUCACUGGAGUUCGGCAGGGGAGACUGGAAUUCCUGGUGUAGCGGUGAAAUGCGUAGAUAUCUGGAGGAACACCGGUGGCGAAGGCGGCAUCCUGGACCAAUAUUGACGCUGAGGAGCGAAAGCCAGGGGAGCAAACGGG
rnacentral:rRNA from 1 species